CAUUUGAAAUGCAACUCAGUAAUGGACAUGCUUAGGAAGGAUCUGUGCUUGUCUUGGGGCUAAAAGGCUAUGUCGUGAGAAUACCAUAAUGCUGUGGCUAUCUUAUUGUGAACUGGUAUUUCCUGUUGGCGUUCCCUCGCUCAAAACUAGCUCAGGGAGGUAGAAGUCCAGGCACUGAAUUGGACUUCUAGUACCCUGAUGAAGGAAACAGUUUUGUCUUUGAAACGUGUCGGAGUAAUUUUGACCCUCGCAGACUUCCACAGUGACUUCACAAACCGGAGAGCGAUUUUUUAACAACAACUGCUUGUUUGAAAUGCCACCGGCCGGGGCUGUCUCCCACACAAAGGGUGCUGCCCGAAUGGAGGACUUAGGACUGCUGUAUCAAUGCUGGAUCCCAUUUCUUCCUCUGAUGACACCGAUAGCAGAGAGAAAAGCAGCAUUUCUACAGGCUCUGAAGCUCCAGUAUAUGACGUGGGACAAAGAAUCUGUACUGUACUCCUUUAUAUGACUGUCCCUGAAAAUAAAUAAGAAAGAAUCACCAUUACCAGAAACAAAAGAGACACCUAACAAUAUCCGGUUCACUUAGUCCUUGGGACUGAGAGGAGAAUUCAAUUCUCUCUUAUUCGCCGUUUUCUCAAAACAUACAAAAAGCUAAGUAUGGGUAAUAGGUGAUUAGUUUGGUCUCAUCAGGUGACCUGCAGUGAUGAGACUCCACCUCUAUUCUCUGCAAGGCCAAAAUAUGUCAAUAGGGCUGAAAACCCAUGCCUGCCACAUCAGCUUAAACAGCGACAAGGCUUCUAGAUACCUUUCAAAAAUCAGAAAAAAGAAUGCAUUUCAUCUAUUGCUUUGGGGGGAAAAAAACACAUCUAGAUCCCUCUGAGCACUGGAGGCAGGAACAACAAAAGAACCAUUGGGAGACGAUGUACGGAACGUUUCAUCACAGUUAAUGCUUUAAGCACAAUGGAAAUGGCGGUAUCCUUCAUCUCAGUCACCUGCCAGUCCCCAGCUGUCUGAACAAUGGAAGGUACAGUAUCAACAAGACAUGACGGGACGAUUGAUGCUUCUCUAUAUAUUACCAAUGACAACUAUGUCAAUGUUUGUUAAGUGGAAAACAUUAAACCAAUAAAAUCAAUGCAGUCAUUAGAAGCGUCUCACAAUUCCCAUCUGACGUGUGGUCUAAACCUUGUUCGGGGGGUUCCGGAUAGGAGUUUUAGAAAUACAUUGGUGUGAUAUCAAUGCAGUAAGGGCGGAGACUUAGGCUGGGAUGACACAACAUUAUUACUGUACGUCCCCGGUAAACCUUGGCAUUCUGCCAGGAAGGCUGAAACAUAUGAUGGCACACGGCAGUGGGUCCCUUUACUUUAGAGGGGUAUUCAAGUUUUGUAAAAAUUAUCCUUUAAGUGAUAAG